CACAGACAGGUUGUAGAGAGACAGACAGGUUGAAGAGAGACAGAUACAGACACACAGACAGGUUGAAGAGAGACAGACACAGACACACAGACAGGUUGUAGAGAGACAGACACAGACACACAGACAGGUUGUAGAGAGACAGACAGGUUGAAGAGAGACAGAUACAGACACACAGACAGGUUGAAGAGAGACAGACACAGACACACAGACAGGUUGUAGAGAGACAGAUACAGACACACAGACAGGUUGUAGAGAGACAGACACAGACACACAGACAGGUUGAAGAGAGAUAGACACAGACACACAGACAGGUUGUAGAGAGACAGACACAGACACACAGACAGGUUGUAGAGAGACAGAUACAGACACACAGACAGGUUGUAGAGAGACAGACAGGUUGUAGAGAGACAGACACAGACACACAGGGGUGUC
ensembl:lncRNA